UACAGAGGUCUCAAGCGUUAUCCGGAUUCACUGGGUUUAAAGGGUGCGUAGGUGGGUUGGUAAGUCAGUGGUGAAAUCUCCGAGCUUAACUUGGAAACUGCCAUUGAUACUAUCAGUCUUGAAUAUUGUGGAGGUCAGCGGAAUAUGUCAUGUAGCGGUGAAAUGCUUAGAUAUGACAUAGAACACCAAUUGCGAAGGCAGCUGGCUACGCAUAUAUUGACACUGAGGCACGAAAGCGUGGGGAUCAAACAGG
rnacentral:rRNA from 1 species